rnacentral:rRNA from 1 species
GUGAGGAAUAUUGGACAAUGGGCGCAAGCCUGAUCCAGCCAUGUCGCGUGCAGGAAGACGCAUCUAUGGUGUGUAAACUGCUUUUGUACGGGAAGAAACACUCCCUCGUGAGGGAGCUUGACGGUACCGUAAGAAUAAGGAUCGGCUAACUCCGUGCCAGCAGCCGCGGUAAUACGGAGGAUCCAAGCGUUAUCCGGAAUCAUUGGGUUUAAAGGGUCCGUAGGCGAUUUAAUAAGUCAGUGGUGAAAGCCCAUCGCUCAACGAUGGAACGGCCAUUGAUACUGUUAGACUUGAAUUACAAGGAAGUAACUAGAAUAUGUAGUGUAGCGGUGAAAUGCUUAGAUAUUACAUGGAAUACCAAUUGCGAAGGCAGGUUACUACUUGUGGAUUGACGCUGAUGGACGAAAGCGUGGGGAGCGAACAGGAUUAGAUACCCUAGUAGUCC